GCCAGGCGCAGUGGUGCAUGCCUGUAAUCCCAGCGACUCAGGAGGCCGAGGCAGGAGGAUCGCGAGUUCAAAGCCAGCCGUAGCAAAGUGUGGCGCUAAGCAACUCACUCAGUGAGACCCUGUCUCUA
rnacentral:sRNA from 1 species